rnacentral:rRNA from 1 species
UACGAAGGGUGCAAGCGUUACUCGGAAUUACUGGGCGUAAAGCGUGCGUAGGUGGUUCGUUAAGUCUGAUGUGAAAGCCCUGGGCUCAACCUGGGAAUGGCAUUGGAAACUGGCGAUCUAGAGUGCGGUAGAGGGUAGUGGAAUUCCCGGUGUAGCAGUGAAAUGCGUAGAGAUCGGGAGGAACAUCUGUGGCGAAGGCGACUGCCUGGACCAGCACUGACACUGAGGCACGAAAGCCAGGGGAGCGAACGGG